CACGCGUGCGUAUGUACUUCAGGGAUCAUCGUCGAUUGCUAGUAGGUGAUUACCGUGGUCGAAUCUACAGUUGGUCUGUCCCAGAAGCACAUGGCAAGGUAGCUGAUCACUGGGUGCCUGAUGAUGUGGCUGACUUUUGCUCAGCAUCCCAGGUCAAGUUUAGUCUAACUGAGCGAAGGCACCACUGCCGCAACUGUGGCAAAGUCUUCUGUGGAAAGUGCAGCAAGUUUGAAUCGGAGAUCCCAGAGAGGGGUAUUCAACGCUUGGUACGCGUCUGCGAGGCGUGUUACAUCAUCCUGAAGGGAAACCUUGCUAUGCCCAUUUACUAAUCACUCAGGAUCAAGCAAGUGAAAAGUGGUCGUCUUCUAGCAUCGUGCCUGACAUUGUCACUCACUCUCCCCCGACAUCAGCCUGACAUUGUCACUCACUCUCCCCCGACAUCAGCCUGACAUUGUCACUCACUCUCCCCCGACAUCAGCCUGACAUUGUCACUCACUCU